UACGGAGGGUGCAAACGUUGCUCGGAAUCAUUGGGCGUAAAGCGCACGUAGGCGGUUCCGUAAGUCGGGUGUGAAAGCCCUCGGCUUAACCGAGGAAGAGCAUUCGAAACUAGGGGACUUGAAUACUGGAGAGGGUGACGGAAUUCCCGGUGUAGAGGUGAAAUUCGUAGAUAUCGGGAGGAACACCAGUGGCGAAGGCGGUCACCUGGACAGAUAUUGACGCUGAGGUGCGAAAGCGUGGGGAGCAAACAGG
rnacentral:rRNA from 1 species